AAGCCGACGACGACGAGUACCGUCAUCGGCGCCGGCGAAAGUGAGAGUGUGCGCCGAUCGGAGUGGUCGACCGAGUCGCGACCGACGGCGACGAGGACGACCGAUUCGCCGUGCAUAAGCGCGUCUGCUUUGCGUUCUGCCUCCCUACACCUCCCUACCUAUCUGCCUACCUAUCUCCCUUCCUCCCUCUCUCCGUAUCGCCCAGCCUCCUUCCCCCCACCACACUCUCGUUCGGUCUCGCUCUCGUUCUCGGUCUCAGCUAGUGAGAGCUAGCUCCCGACCUAUAACGUUCGACGUUCGAGCUCACGACGACGAUAUACUUAUUUAUUAUGUCGGACCAAUAUCGAAUUCGUUGGGCUACCGAACGAUAAAUCUCCUCUUUUUCUUCCUGAUUCUUGUUAUUAGAGAAAGAAUGAAUUACGAGAGAAAAAGUUAAGAAGCGACUUAUACAGGGUGACUGCCAGGAAUAACUAAGGACACCGCAGUUGGAUGAUAGUACGUUCAUCGGUUCAAGGUUAAGAGCAUCGUCGUCAUCGUCGUCGUCGUCGUCAUCGUCAUCGUCGUCGUUGUUGUAGU